AUUGAACGCUGGCGGCAUGCCUUACACAUGCAAGUCGAACGCGAAAGGGGGCGAACUCCCGACGUAGAGUGGCGAACGGGUGAGUAAUACAUCGGAACAUUUCCUGUAGCGGGGGAGUAACCUCGAGAAAUCGAGGCUAAUACCGCAUACGUCCUAAGGGAGAAAGCGGGGACCGCAAGGCCUCGCACUAUAGGAGUGGCCGAUGUCGGAUUAGCUAGUUGGCGGGGUAAAAGCCCACCAAGGCAACGAUCCGUAGCUGGUCUGAGAGGAUGAUCAGCCACACUGGGACUGAGACACGGCCCAGACUCCUACGGGAGGCAGCAGUGGGGAAUCUUGCGCAAUGGGCG
rnacentral:rRNA from 1 species